UAAAUACUCCCUCCGUCCAAAAAUACUUGUCAUCAAAAUGGACAAAAAAGAAUGUAUCUCAAACUAAAAUACAUCUAAAUACAUCCUUUUUUAUUCAUUUUGAUGACAAGUAUUUCCGGCCGGAGGGACCAUCGU
rfam:Triticum aestivum genome assembly, contig: Triticum_aestivum_CS42_TGACv1_scaffold_404109_5BL